rnacentral:rRNA from 1 species
AUUGAACGCUAGCGGGAGGCUUUACACAUGCAAGUCGAACGAGUGGCGGACGGGUGAGUAAUAUAUCGGAACGUGCCCAGUAGAGGGGGAUAACUACUCGAAAGAGUGGCUAAUACCGCAUCCUAUCGGAUCGCCCGAUAUGGGAUUAGCUAGUUGGUGGGGUAAAGGCUCACCAAGGCAACGAUCCGUAGCUGGUCUGAGAGGAUGACCAGCCACACUGGGACUGAGACACGGCCCAGACUCCUACGGGAGGCAGCAGUGGGGAAUUUUGGACAAUGGGGGCAACCCUGAUCCAGCCAUCCCGCGUGUAUGAGAAGGCCUUCGGGUUGUAAAGUACUUUUGGCAGGGAAGCGGUAUCUGCAGAAUAAGCACCGGCUAACUACGUGCCAGCAGCCGCGGUAAUUC